rnacentral:rRNA from 1 species
GAUGAACGCUGGCGGCGUGCCUAAUACAUGCAAGUCGAGCGAAUGGAUUAAGAGCUUGCUCUUAUGAAGUUAGCGGCGGACGGGUGAGUAACACGUGGGUAACCUGCCCAUAAGACUGGGAUAACUCCGGGAAACCGGGGCUAAUACCGGAUAACAUUUUGAACCGCAUGGUUCGAAAUUGAAAGGCGGCUUCGGCUGUCACCUAUGGAUGGACCCGCGUCGCAUUAGCUAGUUGGUGAGGUAACGGCUCACCAAGGCAACGAUGCGUAGCCGACCUGAGAGGGUGAUCGGCCACACUGGGACUGAGACACGGCCCAGACUCCUACGGGAGGCAGCAGUAGGGAAUCUUCCGCAAUGGACGAAAGUCUGACGGAGCAGCGCCGCGUGAGUGAUGAAGGUUUUCGGGUCGUAAAACUCUGUUGUUAGGGAAGAACAAGUGCUAGUUGAAUAAGCUGGCACCUUGACGGUACCUAACCAGAAAGCCACGGCUAACUACGUGCCAGCCGCCGCAGUAA